UGGACAAACAGGACAGAGGACACAGCAGAAGAAGCAGAAUGAUUUGGAUGUUCUGUACACAGCUAUAAAUCCACAAACUAAACGCAAGAAAGCAGAAGAAAAGGAUGAUGUGACGUACUCGACUGUAGUCCACAGCAACCCUGUGAGAGCAGCACACACUCAAGAGGCAUCAGGAGAUACAACAGUAU